rnacentral:rRNA from 1 species
CAGCCGUAAACUAUGCGCGUUAGGUGUAUCGGUGACCACGAGUUACCGAGGUGCCGAAGGGAAACCGUGAAACGUGCCGCCUGGGAAGUACGGUCGCAAGGCUGAAACUUAAAGGGAAUUGGCGGGGGAGCACCACAACGGGUGGAGCCUGCGGUUUAAUUGGACUCAACGCCGGGAAGCUCACCGGAUAAGACAGCGGAAUGAUUGCCGGGCUGAAGACUCUGCAUGACUAGCUGAGAGGAGGUGCAUGGCGUAGACGUCU